GGGAUUAAUAUGAACAAACUUAACCCUUUUUAACUUACCAUCACGUAAUAUUUUCCGCUUACAUGCCACGAGGAUUCUGGGCAGGGCCAGGUGGGGGCAGAGUGGAGGGGUGCAGAGGGAAGGAGGAUGUGAGGGGGGAGGAAUAAUAGAAACCUUUUUACUAUAUUGAUGCGAAAUGAAAAGUAAUUCAGAAAUGCAAUUUAGCGAUGACCUCUCCUCUGGGUGGCUAUGAAAAACAGCCUUGUUUUCUUUUUAUAAAGAAAUGCUGGCAUGCUUGACUUUAGUGAAUCAAGAGAAUUGUUUGGCAAAUAACAGUGAUGGUGUGUGUCCUUGUCAGAACACCUGCUGUAUUCUCCCAGCAAACACUGGGGCCACGGCGUCUCUCCUCUAAUGACACCUCAUCAAUCCGCUCCUAUCAAUGUCCCAGCCAUGGAGGUGACUUCGAGUGCUCAGAAGCCUUAGAAAAUGUCAACGUUUUGGGAGAAAAGUUCCCUGCUCCGAAAUUUCAGUGAUUUUAGCAGCUCUCUUUCUUCUGCCCUGUGAGACUGAUUGCUAUCCAGUUUCAUGAACAGCAGAUUAUAAAUUAUGCCCUGGGAGAAAACCAGGGUAAGUAUGGGGCUUAAUUGGGUCUAUCUCUUCUCUCAAGAAUUGAAGUCAUGUGUUCCUUGCUGCCAGUGUCUGAAAACUGUUUCUGUUUUUAAUUAACUCAUAAUUGCCUGUGGCAAGCUUGUUAUCCUUUUAAUGUCUUCUGGAUCUUUUGUUAAAUUCUUCUUUUCAUUCCUAAUACUAUUUUGUUAUACUUUAUCUCUUUUUCCUUGAUCAUUUACAUCAGAGAAUUAUGUAAAUCUUAUUUGUUUUAAAGAAAUAUGUCUGCCUUUGUUGAUCUUCUUAAUAUUUACUUUAAUUUUUGUUAUUUUCUUCCUUCAACUUUCUUUGAAUUUGUUGUUUCUCCUUAUCUUUCUUGGAUGUAUAUAAUCUUAAUAAUUUUCAGUAUUUUUAUUUUACAAUACACACAUUCAAGAUUAUAAAUAUCCCUCUAGAUAUUGCUUUGGCUACAUCCUUCAGAUUUUUCUAUGUGAUAUUUUAUUCAGUUUAAAAUAUUUUAUAGUCUUUGAUUGUUUGAUCCAUGAAGUAUUUAGAAUUAUAUUUCUUAAUAUACAAAUGCCUGUAAUGUUCUGGUUAUUUCAUUGCUGAUUUCCAACACAAUUACAUUUUGUUAGGAAAAAUAUGCUCCAUGGUUUAAAAUAUUUACAACUUUUUGAGAGUUGCUAGUAUAUAUUAGUAUAUAAUCAAUUUUUAUAAAUUUCUGUCUUCAGAAGAAGAUGUAUUCUCUAGUUUAUAUAUCCAAAGGGUUAAAUUUACUAAUUUUGUUUCUUUAAAUCUUCUUUUUNUUUUUUUUUGGUCUUUUUAAGGCCUCACCUGCAGCAUAUGGAGAUUCCCAGGCUAGGGGUCCAAUCGGAGCUACAGCUGCUGGCCUACACCACGGCCACAGCAACACCUGAUCCAAACUACACCACACUCCAUAGGUCACGGCAAUGCUGGAUCCUUAACACACUGAGUGAGGCCAGAGAUCAAACCUCAUGGUUCCUAGUCAGAUUCAUUUCUGCUGUGCCAUGACAGGAACUCCUCUUUAAAUAUUCUUAUAUCCUAAGUGGUUUUUGCCUGCUGGUUCUAUUGUAUAGUGAGAGAAGUGUUUUCACAAUCCCCUAAUGUGAUUGUUUGCCUUUUUCUCCUGUCAAUUUUUCUUUAUAUAUUUCAAAGCAAUGUUAAGUGCAUAGUAAUUUAAUUUUUUUAAUUUUUAAUUGAAUCUGGCCUUUAUGAUCUAAUCUUCAUGUAUAGAAGUACUUUUUGCCCUAAAGCUUAUAUAUUUAUAUUAACAUAGCUACAUAAGCUUUGACCUUUGCUGCAUUUUACGUACCCUUUUACAGUUUUUCCAUAUUUUUAUGUGUAUUUAAUGUAAAAAAUUAAUAGUAGUCUAUGUAUUUAAUUGUAAAUACAGUUUUAUUUUAUAAUAUUUUAGUUGAAUUAUGCAGUUAUUACUAUUUAUUGAAAUAACUGUUACGGUUUAAUAUUAUGUGAUCUUGAUUUGUCCCUAUGGAUUUAUUAUGUUUUGUUUUCUUUCUCUAUUCUUUAAUUGGACUGACAGUUUCUUACCAUUCUAUUUUUCCCCCCUUUUGGUUUAGAAGAUAUAAAGCCUAACAGUUAACUUGUAAUUACCCUAUCAUUAUAGCAUAUACUCCUUAUUUAUCAAAGUCUCUAAUAUUAACACUUUACCUUUCUCUCCCCAAAUGCAUGGCUUCUAGAAUACUUAAGUUUUGUUCUCCUGCUUCCCAAAUAAUUUAUUAUUGUUGUCUUGUCACUUAGAAAAUACACACACACACACACACACACACACACACAAUCAUUAUUAUCUUUUUAAAAAUAAACUCAAUGCUUGUAAUGUUUAUUUAGGUUUA
rnacentral:lncRNA from 1 species